UACGUAGGGUGCGAGCGUUGCCCGGAAUUAUUGGGCGUAAAGGGCGCGUAGGCGGCUUGAUGUGUCAAAGGUGAAAUCCCUCGGCUCAACUGAGGAACUGCCUUUGAAACUGUCUGGCUUGAGGCCGGGAGAGGGUAGCGGAAUUCCCAGUGUAGCGGUGAAAUGCGUAGAUACUGGGAGGAACACCGGUGGCGAAGGCGGCUACCUGGACCGGAACUGACGCUGAGGCGCGAAAGCGUGGGUAGCAAACAGG
rnacentral:rRNA from 1 species